rnacentral:rRNA from 1 species
CCUACGGGUGGCAGCAGUGGGGAAUAUUGCGCAAUGGGCGAAAGCCUGACGCAGCGACGCCGCGUGAGGGAUGAAGGUCUUCGGAUCGUAAACCUCUGUCAGCAGGGAAGAACGGUCACUGUGCUAAUCAGCAGUGAAUUGACGGUACCUGCAAAGGACGCACCGGCUAACUCCGUGCCAGCAGCCGCGGUAAUACGGAGGGUGCGUGCGUUAAUCGGAAUUACUGGGCGUAAAGCGCUCGUAGGCGGUAUGUCAAGUCUAGGGUGAAAGCCCCGCGCUCAACGUGGGAACUGCAUUUGAAACUGGCAAACUGGAGUGUGUGAGAGGAUAGUGGAAUUCCAGGUGGAGGAGUGAAAUCCGUAGAGAUCUGGAGGAACAUCAGUGGCGAAGGCGACUAUCUGGCACAUAACUGACGCUGAGGAGCGAAAGCGUGGGUAGCAAACAGGAUUAGAUACCCGAGUAGUC